UGGAGGAAUGGGAGAGGAGCUUUCCACUCCUCUGAGAGUCAUGUCGAGAGUCUGUCUUAGCCCUCGACCCCUCAGUCUUUGUAGAUCUCAUCCCAGAACCCCGAGGGAGAGGAGAAGUUCUGGUCUCUCCUCGGUGCUGCGGCUGCCCCGGGAAGAGUUUCCAGGAGCUGACAAGCAUUCAGAUGAGUAAAGAUGGGAUCGGAUUGAGAAAAGGAGAAGGGAGAGCAUAUUCGUUCUCUUUCCACCUCCCUCCCACAGCCUUUCAUGCUGAUCUCAUCUGACGAAGCUGCCUCCUCCUCCCUGGACUCUACAAGCCCCUGUCAUGAUGUUUCUCAGAUCCUGAAUUCCAGCGAAACAGAUGAUACUAACAAGUUUGAAGACCCCCACAGAGGAAUGGAAUCAGUAUGAGAACACAGUUUCUUCAUCUCCCUGUCCCAGAACUUCACCCUGGACUCCUCGACCAAUCAACAAUCUCCACACUUCGGCCCACUCCAAAACUCCUAAAAUCCCAAGCUCCAAACUCCUCUGGGAGAUGGAUUUGAGGCUUCCUCCCGUUUCCUUGUGUGGAAGCCCUGUCAUUAAACCUC
rnacentral:lncRNA from 1 species